rnacentral:lncRNA from 1 species
AAGCAGUGUAGUGUAAAUAGGAGUUACAAAAGUGUUUCAACUUAAAAAGAGAGAUCACAGAGAAUCUGAGGACUGUAAUUGAACAACAUCCCUCGAUGACUUUGUAUACACAAAAGGACACCACCAUCUAACUUUGAUACACUAAGAGACAGGAACAGCAAGUGGAACAUGUGAGUGCUUGCAUAACAUCAUCCAGUGGGUCGUUUUUUAAAAAAAUGUCGAGGAAAGUUAGACCAUGAUUAACCCGGAGUUGUUAGAGUGAAGUUCUUAGCGGAAGUUAAGAAACGCUAAAAACUUCUUCCUAAGAACCUUGGGUUAAUCAUGCUCUUAUAGUUGAUAACGUUUUUUUUGUAUAUAGUUGUGUACACGGUGCUCCAAUUGGAAUGUUAGGUUACUGAGUUUUUUCUGCUGAAAUGCAAACUAUUAUUUGUUAGAUAUAUUGUGCUUUUCCUUUUGUAACGUGGUGGUCGUUUGGAAUUGAAUUCUGGAAGUAUUGGUUAAC